GGUUGAUCCUGCCAGUCAUAUAUGCUUGUCUUAAAGACUUAGCCAUGCAUGUCCAAGUAUAAACCACUUUAUACGGUGAAACUGCGAAUGGCUCAUUAAAUCAGUUAUAGUUUACUUGAUAGUCUCUUACUACAUGGAUAACCGUGGUAACCCAGAGCUAAUACAUGCAUCAAGACACGACUUUCCCUCGGGGAGGAAGUGUUGCGUUUAUUAGAUAAAAAACCAAUGCCUUUCGGGGCUUCCUGGUGAUUCAUAAUAACUAGCGGAUCGCAUGACCUUGUGUCGGCGACGUU
rnacentral:rRNA from 1 species